GACAGAGGUGGCAAGCGUUGUUCGGAUUCAUUGGGUGUAAAGGGUCCGUAGGUGGCCCAGCAAGUCUGACGUGAAAUCCCAUGGCUCAACCGUGGAACUGCGUUGGAAACUGCAGGGCUUGAGUAUCGCGAGAGGUGAAGGGAAUUCCCGGUGUAAGGGUGAAAUCUGUAGAUAUCGGGAGGAACACCAGUGGCGAAGGCGCUUCACUGGGCGCAUUACUGACACUGAGGGACGAAAGCAAGGGGAGCAAACAGGAGUUAG
rnacentral:rRNA from 1 species